GCAGGGGUUUCCUGAUGCUAUGUGAAAUGUUCUUCACCCACUUUCCUGAUGUCUAGUGUAAAGAGAGCACCAGUCUUGAGUGCAGUGAUCCUCUUCACCUCUAAGAAGUGAUGGAGAUGAGUUGAUACGAGCUUUAAUGUUCCACGCUCCACAUCGGAACGGC